CAGAGAGAAAGACAUAAUGAAAGCCAGAUGGAUAAUCCUGAGCCAGGCAUUUUCUCUCAGCCCAACCAACCUCCCAGGGCUGUUGUUGCAGGAAAGUAGGAGAGUGAAGUGUGAAGCCAGCCCCAGUUCGAUCCAGCACCCAAGCCAGGCAUGCCUCAUCAGCAGUGGGAGCAAGAAGUUGGUGAAAGUGAGCUGGAGUGGCACAGCACAAGUUGCAACUGAACCACAAAUAAUUGGUUUGCCUAAGGAGGAUUGAUAUCACAGGAUAUUAACAGGAAUACAGCGAUGGACAGCAUUAAAUCUAAAUUUGCUCUGUGCCAGAGUGUGGUAGGACUUGAGAUCCUUAUUUAUUUUCAUCACAUUUUUGUCAUAAGUUGUUUGUGGGAAACUUUGCUAAUGGCAGCAGCCACAGAAAUUGUAAGGCAAUAUUGUUCCUUUGAAAAUUGGUUCAUUGAAUUUGAAACUAUUUGUUUUAAUUGUCCUUUCAAUAUAUUGUUUCAAUAUGCUUUAUGUUAGCAUUCACAUAAUGCUAGUCUGAAAGCUAGAUAACUUCUUCUGUAAAAUAGAAUUUGUUUGGGAAACAUAUAAUUGGACAUUGGCAAAAGCACCCAUAUCUCACGAGAUAAUAAAAUCUUCCACGAUAUUGGCAUUUUUGACAAGAUCUUGUGAAAUUUUGGAAAGUUUCUUUUAGGGAAAAUUUCCUUCUGGGUUAAACAGAGGGUAAUUCUAUAACGAAACUGUUGUGUCCUGAGCCUGCAAAAGCUCAGGACAUAACAUUCCAAAAGCUGCCCGGGACCAGACUGAGAGGCGCCAGCCUUGCGCGCAUGCACAAGGCGUGAAAGCGCUCCGCUAAUUGUUGCCAUUGUGUCCGGGGCUCUAGGCAGAUAAAGAGAGGCCUGCGUGCUGCUGCUCGUUGUUGUGGUUUUGCUGUUAAACGAAUAAAGAGCUAUUAACUGCACAAUGAGUCUUCAUCAUUCGCCCACGAUCAAAGGACUUAGCAGAAACCAUUUUAGUUUUUAGUGCCUGGAAAUUGUACAGAGCCAUAAAAAAAACCCACAUUCUCUGGCAAGAAACAAAUGACCCAGAUAACAAUCUGAUCACAGUUUGCAUUUUAAAGUGCACACACAUUUUGCAUUGUUUGCAUUUUUAAAACAUACAGACCCAUAUAACUAUAUAUCUAGGAUACAGUGCUGUUUUCUCUUUUUCCUGCACAAGUUUUCUAUCCAGUUGUAGCAUUCAGCUUUGGAUCUAUCUCAUUGCAGUUAUCUUACUGGUAAACCUUAUACCAGUAUAGGCUUUUGCUUAAUUGUUAAAAACAUUUUGCAGAACAAGUAUGCUUUAUUGUGACUUGCACUUUGUUUAGCUUCUCACUCCAAGAAUUCUCAUCGAAUUGAAUAACUUUUGGGGUUUCUUUUAUUCAAAGGUUUUCUGCAAAAAAGCUUAUAAAAGUAUACAAAGAAAGGAAGCUGAAUGAAGUCAUCCCAUUUUAUUCUAGUUAUAACCCUAGUUAUUCCAUGGAAUGAAAGCUGAAAAAGUGAUUCUCACUGGGCACCAGUGUGGAUUUCUGGAAAAGUUCCCCCUUCCUUUUUAAAAUGUGCAUUCACUGAAGCUUAAUUUAGAAAUACAAUGAAUCAUUCUUUUUAUACUUAGCAACUUCCAGAUUAAACUGAAUCCCCCCAAUGUUUCAUGGGAUUAACAGUUAUUAUACAGAUAAAUAACUUCAGGAAGAAGUAGAUAAGUCAGGGGCAAGGCUGCUGCCUAUUAUCAGUGCAGUAUUUGACACUGCAAUGACUGACUGGGGAAAAGGCAAUAAAAUCAUUUCUUUGUCCUGACCUUGCCUGCUUAUGAAUAUUUGAAUACACAUGAUUUUGCAUCUGGCAUAACAGUAUAAAUGUAAACUGAUAAGAGGAUUCUGCUGCAACCCUCCCCCCCCCUUGCUUCAGGUUAUUUAUGAAGUAAUGGGAAGAAGGUAAUGUUGAACCUAAUUGUGGUCGAAUCUGGGGAUAAGAAAAGAGAAGAUGGUCUUCCCUGGAUGGUUCUCUCUUCUUUUCUUGUAAAAAAUACUUUUUGUAUAUAUUUACAUAUGGUAUAAAGCUUUUCUUUCCUAUAUUUAUUCCCAACAAUCAAUAAUCAUCAUCCAAUGUGGCUUUCUUGGUUCGAUGUUUCUUAUUUGUGAAGAAAAACAAAUAGCAGGAAGCAUUUGGCAUUGAUAAUGGACAUACAAGGCGUUUUUUCAUGUAGAGGGGAAUAAUAGAAUAAAGGAAUUAGAAGGGACCUUGGAAGU